AGACUCCUACGGGAGGCAGCAGUAGGGAAUCUUGCGCAAUGGGCGAAAGCCUGACGCAGCAAUGCCGCGUGCGGGACGAAGGCCCUAGGGUCGUAAACCGCUUUCAGUAGGGACGAAAAUGACGGUACCUGCAGAAGAAGCUCCGGCCAACUACGUGCCAGCAGCCGCGGUGAUACGUAGGGAGCAAGCGUUGUCCGGAAUUACUGGGCGUAAAGGGCUCGUAGGUGGUUGAGUAAGUCAGAUGUGAAAUCUCAGGGCCCAACCCUGAGCCUGCAUUUGAUACUGCUCUGACUAGAGUCCGGUAGGGGAGUGCGGAACUCCUGGUGUAGCGGUGAAAUGCGCAGAUAUCAGGAAGAACACCGACAGCGAAGGCAGCACUCUGGGCCGGUACUGACACUGAGGAGCGAAAGCAUGGGUAGCAAACAGGAUUAGAUACCCUGGUAGUCCAUGCCGUAAACGUUGGGCACUAGGUGUGGGGAGAACUCAACUCUCUCCGCGCCGUAGCUAACGCAUUAAGUGCCCCGCCUGGGGAGUACGGCCGCAAGGCUAAAACUCAAAGGAAUUGACGG
rnacentral:rRNA from 1 species